CAACGCAAUUGGGCGUUUUAUGCAGAUACCCUCUGCGUACAGGCUAGAACCCUGAUCGGACUUCUAUAAGGAGAAAUCAAAUG
ncrna:unclassified sequences freshwater-2 RNA